rnacentral:rRNA from 1 species
GGAAUCUUGGACAAUGGGGGAAACCCUGAUCCAGCCAUGCCGCGUGAAUGAUGAAGGCCUUAGGGUUGUAAAAUUCUUUCAGCAGGGAAGAUAAUGACGGUACCUGCAGAAGAAGCCCCGGCUAACUCCGUGCCAGCAGCCGCGGUAAUACGGAGGGGGCUAGCGUUGUUCGGAAUUACUGGGCGUAAAGCGCACGUAGGCGGAUUGUUAAGUUAGAGGUGAAAGCCCGGAGCUCAACUCCGGAAUAGCCUUUGAUACUGGCAGUCUAGAGUUCAGGAGAGGUGAGCGGAAUUCCGAGUGUAGAGGUGAAAUUCGUAGAUAUUCGGAGGAACACCAGAGGCGAAGGCGGCUCACUGGACUGAUACUGACGCUGAGGUGCGAAAGCGUGGGGAGCAAACAGGAUUAGAUACCCCGGUAGUCC